AUAUGUGACAGCUUAAAAGUACCUCUUGUGCCUGAUAAUUUGACCCAAAUAUGUUCUUCUUGGUGCAAACAUAACUUCAACCGUGAUCUUCGACAACCUAUGCUCAUGGUCGUGGCUGCGUUGAUUUGGUGUUGCUGGGAAGAAAGAAAUGCGAGAAUCUUUUUAAACAAAACUUCUUCAGAAGAGAGGGUGUUCUGGAAAUUGCUUCACCUAAUCAGUGAUUGGAUGGCUCUUUGCAAUCAAAAGGAGUUAUUAAGCCUUUCAAAAAUUGCUGACUACCUCUUCAUCAGAGCAGUCUGAUCUCAGCUAUGAUUUUGAGUUUACUGAUUGUAUUUUCUGAUAUCAAAUCUUUUGUUUUGCUUACUACAUCUAUCUUCUCUUGUUCUCUUUAUAACAUUUUGUAACCACCCUGAUGUUUUCUGUUCCAGCUGAAGCUUAUCUGUAUCCUACUCUUGUAUAGCUCUUUAUUAAUAAAGAUUGGGUGGCCUAUAGCCUCCC
rnacentral:lncRNA from 1 species